GACGAACGCUGGCGGCGUGCUUAACACAUGCAAGUCGAACGGAAAGGCCUGCUUUCCCUUGUGGAUUGCGGGUACUCGAGUGGCGAACGGGUGAGUAACACGUGAGUGAUCUGCCCCCAACUUGGGUAUAAGCCUGGGAAACUGGGUCUAAUUCCCGAUAGGACUGCAGGGUGGUGCCUGUGGUGGAAAACGAUUUUCUAGUGGUUGGGGAUGAGCUCGCGGCCUAUCAGCUUGUUGGUGGGGUAAUGGCCUACCAAGGCGGCGACGGGUAGCCGGCCUGAGAGGGUGGACGGCCACAUUGGGACUGAGAUACGGCCCAGACUCCUACGGGAGGCAGCAGUGGGGAAUAGUGCACGAUGGGCGGAAGCCUGAUGCAGCGACGCCGCGUGGGGGAUGACGGCCUUCGGGUUGUAAACUCCUUUCGACCGCGAGGAAGCCACCUGGUUGGAAGGGUGGUGACGGUAGUGGUAGAAGAAGCACCGGCUAACUACGUG
rnacentral:rRNA from 1 species